rnacentral:rRNA from 1 species
AGUUCGGAUUGUAGUCUGCAACCCGACUACAUGAAGCUGGAAUCGCUAGUAAUCGCAGGUCAGCAUACUGCGGUGAAUACGUUCCCGGGUCUUGUACACACCACCCGUCACACCAUGGGAGCCGGAAAUGCCCGGAGCCAGUGACCCAACCUUAGGGAGGGAGCUGUCGAAGGUGGAGCCGGUAACUGGGGUGAAGUCGUAACAAGGUAAC